GAUGAACGCUGGCGGCGUGCCUAAUACAUGCAAGUCGAGCGAACAGAUGAGGAGCUUGCUCCUCUGACGUUAGCGGCGGACGGGUGAGUAACACGUGGAUAACCUACCUAUAAGACUGGGAUAACUUCGGGAAACCGGAGCUAAUACCGGAUAAUAUAUUGAACCGCAUGGUUCAAUAGUGAAAGACGGUUUUGCUGUCACUUAUAGAUGGAUCCGCGCCGCAUUAGCUAGUUGGUAAGGUAACGGCUUACCAAGACAACGAUGCGUAGCCGACCUGAGAGGGUGAUCGGCCACACUGGAACUGAGACACGGUCCAGACUCCUACGGGAGGCAGCAGUAGGGAAUCUUCCGCAAUGGGCGAAAGCCUGACGGAGCAACGCCGCGUGAGUGAUGAAGGUCUUCGGAUCGUAAAACUCUGUUAUUAGGGAAGAACAAAUGUGUAAGUAACUAUGCACGUCUUGACGGCACCUAAUCAGAAAGCCACGGCUAACUACGUG
rnacentral:rRNA from 1 species